rnacentral:rRNA from 1 species
AGUGAACGCUGGCGGUAGGCCUAACACAUGCAAGUCGAACGGCAGCACAGUAAGAGCUUGCUCUUACGGGUGGCGAGUGGCGGACGGGUGAGGAAUACAUCGGAAUCUACUUUUUCGUGGGGGAUAACGUAGGGAAACUUACGCUAAUACCGCAUACGACCUACGGGUGAAAGCAGGGGAUCUUCGGACCUUGCGCGAUUGAAUGAGCCGAUGUCGGAUUAGCUAGUUGGCGGGGUAAAGGCCCACCAAGGCGACGAUCCGUAGCUGGUCUGAGAGGAUGAUCAGCCAAACUGGAACUGAGAGACGGGUCAGACGCAUACGGGAGGCAGCAGUGGGGAAUAUUGGACAAGGGGCGCAAGCCUGAUCCAGCCAUACCGCGUGGGGGAAGAAGGCCUUCGGGUGGUAAAGCCCUUUUGUGGGGAAAGAAAAGCAGCAGGUGAAUACCCCGCUGUUCUGACGGUACCCAAAGAAUAAGCACCGGCUAACUUCGUG